ACUCACCUCUAUGUAAUUGUACAUGGAUAGGUCUGAAAUCGCGUGAUCAUCUGGGAUUCUCAAUCUUGAGAACACAGGAAGACACAAACCUUGCCCCAAACCAGCGUUGACAGUGUGUUCUUAUGCAUAAACCCUCUAUCAACCUCCAACGUCAUGUGUAAACCAGUCACGCGAGCACAAGGAAAGGAGGAAACAAAAUAUCUCUGGCUCCUGAGCAUCUGAGAGAGAUGACUGGGAAAUAACCAAAAAAAAAAAAAAAAAAAAAAAAGAAAAAAAAGAUGAGAAAAUUUGUCCUGGAAUUCUAUGAUCUCUUCAGACCCAGGCACCAGUAUUCUUGGACUUUCUAAAACACCACAGCAAACAUAUACUAUGAACUUACUUUACGUAGAGACGGGGUUUCACCAUGUUGACCAGGCUGGCCU
rnacentral:lncRNA from 1 species